GGGGGGCGUGGCUAGCCGCCUCCCACUUCGGCGGACACUUGAGCUUCUGGACUCGCUAGUGGCCCUGAGUCUGGAGACGAAAGGUUUGCGAUCGGUGACCUGCCCGGCUUUCAUCCGCCUCUCAGUUCACUCUAAAGGUCCGGCCUGGCGCCAGCGACCAGUGAGAUCUCUCCUGGAUCCCAGAAGCCGAGGCCAGGCUAGGGCGGACCCCACUGAGACCUCAGCAUCCCUGGGGAUCAGCCACUAUAGCCCGGGUCCUCACUACCUACGGGGAGGACUUGGCUCUUCGCCUGUGAAACUCCCGAGUUUCAAAAGGAGUCAUCUACACUCGGGCGUUUAAAGCUGUUCAUGUACUGUGCUCUGGCGUAGAGAGGUUAAACAAAUUGACGAAUUGUGUUUGUAAAACUUUCCUACCUCCGACUGCGGCUGUAAAGUGGUCAGGGCGCACUGUACUGUUAGGACAGCCGACCUUAGGAUUCUUUUAUAGCGACAGUAAACCUCUUGAGUUUCAUGCCACGUCUUUGUAGCCCUAAAUCUAUUUUCGAUGUAAUUACUAGGUUCAAUCCCUUUGGCAGUUUGUGCAAAUCAAGUUAAAGGAAAAACUGCCAAACCUGAGAAGGGUUUGGAGAAGUAGAAGGGCGGGUCUUAUGAGAAAACAUUAUCCAAAAACGGUAUCGUAGGUCUGUCCAGUAUUAUUUAAAAUAAACAGUAACCAUACGCAGUGAGUAAGCCAGGUUUAGACAGAAUAUUCCCCGCGCCCAAAUACGUUGUCUCAACUCCUACGGGGACAGUAAGUCCCAGUAGGUCCUCCCACCCACAGCCCCAAGCUACCUUCCCUUUUUCCUGAAAAAAAAAAAAAAAAAAAAAUGUGUCCUCAGCCAGUUUCUCCCAUUCACGUCACCUUUUUGUUCCUUCACCUUUCUGGUCAUUCUUUGCCAACUGACUUUAAAUGUCCUUUGUAAAUUAAAUGGUUAUUUAAC
rnacentral:lncRNA from 1 species